UGGGGAAUUUUGGACAAUGGGCGAAAGCCUGAUCCAGCAAUGCCGCGUGUGUGAAGAAGGCCUUCGGGUUGUAAAGCACUUUUGUCCGGAAAGAAAUCCUUGGCUCUAAUACAGUCGGGGGAUGACGGUACCGGAAGAAUAAGCACCGGCUAACUACGUGCCAGCAGCCGCGGUAAUACGUAGGGUGCAAGCGUUAAUCGGAAUUACUGGGCGUAAAGCGUGCGCAGGCGGUUUGCUAAGACCGAUGUGAAAUCCCCGGGCUCAACCUGGGAACUGCAUUGGUGACUGGCAGGCUAGAGUAUGGCAGAGGGGGGUAGAAUUCCACGUGUAGUAGUGAAAUGCGUAGAGAUGUGGAGGAAUACCGAUGGCGAAGGCAGCCCCCUGGGCCAAUACUGACGCUCAUGCACGAAAGCGUGGGGAGCAAACAGGAUUAGAUACCCUGGUAGUCCACGCCCUAAACGAUGUCAACUAGUUGUUGGGGAUUCAUUUCCUUAGUAACGUAGCUAACGCGUGAAGUUGACCGCCUGGGGAGUACGGUCGCAAGAUUAAAACUCAAAGGAAUUGACGGGGUCAUAGCUGUUUCCU
rnacentral:rRNA from 1 species